AAUUUGCGCAUGAAGCAUCUGCAAUUUGUCUGUUGCAGAGUGUGUUUACAGACAUCUGAAGAAGUGGUUGCUUCGGUGCAAUUUCUCCCAGUGUCAUGAGAAUAGCAGCAACGUGUGCAAAGUAAGAAGACUUCCUGCGGCCUGUGAGUACUCCUGUGUGACAAACUGGAUUGUCACAGACUCAAUAGGAAGGUGCACAACAAAUAUUGCAGAUAGUGGAAACAAAUCCUAUUUUGCAAAAUGUGAGAGAGC
rnacentral:lncRNA from 1 species